UCGUUCUGUUUCAUCUUUCAGUAUAUUUUCUUACAUAUUCAGUACAUUUUUUUGUACUAACGUCUCUUUUCUGGGGGCGCUACAUUUCGUGCGUGCAGGUUCAGACAGUCAAGCAGGUAAAUCUCCUCAUUAAGUAUUGCCCGAGUUCAACUUGAUCGGUAAGUUUCAUGUCUUUCUGAGUUGCCGGGUCUAAAGUUUUCUGU
rnacentral:lncRNA from 1 species